CUGAUGUUGUUGUCAGCUAACCAGCAUAAACUAUAUGGGAAGGGUUUAUCAGAACGACUUGACUGAACCGAAUACAUUAGUCUCCACACUCGACUCAGAUGCGCGACAUACGUCAUCCCUUUGGGCACCAGGCGUGUCCAUGUAGCCUCUCCCACGUCAGAAUCGACACGGAUUCGAGGAUGCUGCCAUAGUGGCGGGGCCGGAGGCUGCAGCGGUGAGUCUGGCCAGGGCUAGACACUCAGGUGGGACGAUGGCGGCGGCUGGGCACGAGGAAGAGCAGGCUCUUAUAGCGGACUGUCGCAUUUCAAACGUGAUCAACUGGAAUAAACCUUUUAGGACCACGACACUCUUUGCUGCCACCACUGCUGUGUACUGGUUUGUGGCCCUCAGUUCCUAUAGAGCGUACUGUCUUCUUGCCCUUUCCUUGGUUCUGAUGGUGACAGUGCUGCUUGUUAAAGAUGUGGCUCUCUCCAGAUGUGUCUCUUUCUCUAAAGGGGCCCACUUAUGGCGCAGUAUGACUGGAAGAGAGAGUUUGUUUGAUUCUGUGUUACAGGAACUGAUCCUAAGACAGCAGUUACUUUGAACCCUACAAGCAGCCAGUCAGGUCAGAAGACUAGCAGGGGGUGUGCUUCUGAAGGAAACCUGUCAUUGGACCAAAAAUACUAGUCAUGAGUGUUUCGUCACAGUCAAAUGAUUUGCAUAAGUAAUUUGGAUAAAAAAAUCUAUAAUAAAUGGUUGAUGUUCUAAAAGUGGAUGAAACUAUACAUUUUUUCUGUUACCAUGUUUGUCUAAUAUGUUUUAUUUCAUAGUUAAAACAUGGUGAAAUGUAGCAUAAAUUGUGGCAUAAAUACAAUACAACACAAUCAGG
rnacentral:lncRNA from 1 species